AUGGCGUCUUCCGUGGGCAACGUGGCCGACAGCACAGAACCAACGAAACGUAUGCUUUCCUUCCAAGGGUUAGCUGAGUUGGCACAUCGAGAAUAUCAGGCAGGAGAUUUUGAGGCAGCUGAGAGACACUGCAUGCAGCUCUGGAGACAAGAGCCAGACAAUACUGGUGUGCUUUUAUUACUUUCAUCUAUACACUUCCAGUGUCGAAGGCUGGACAGAUCUGCUCACUUUAGCACUCUGGCAAUUAAACAGAACCCCCUUCUGGCAGAAGCUUAUUCGAAUUUGGGGAAUGUAUACAAGGAAAGAGGGCAGUUGCAGGAGGCAAUUGAGCAUUAUCGACAUGCAUUGCGUCUCAAACCUGAUUUCAUCGAUGGUUAUAUUAACCUGGCAGCCGCCUUGGUAGCAGCGGGUGACAUGGAAGGGGCAGUACAAGCUUACGUCUCUGCUCUUCAGUACAAUCCUGAUUUGUACUGUGUUCGCAGUGACCUGGGGAACCUGCUCAAAGCCCUGGGUCGCUUGGAAGAAGCCAAGACUUGAGACUGUCCUCAUUCCCAUAUGUAAUAGACAUCCAAAGAAUUUCAAUUGCUUUGUUGAACUUUUA
rnacentral:sRNA from 1 species